rnacentral:rRNA from 1 species
UACGAAGGGGGCUAGCGUUGCUCGGAAUUACUGGGCGUAAAGGGCGCGUAGGCGGCCCUGUUAGUCAGGCGUGAAAGUCCUGGGCUCAACCUGGGAACUGCGCUUGAUACGGCAGAGCUAGAGGAUGGAAGAGGGUCGCGGAAUUCCCAGUGUAGAGGUGAAAUUCGUAGAUAUUGGGAAGAACACCGGUGGCGAAGGCGGCGAGCUGGUCCAUUACUGACGCUGAGGCGCGACAGCGUGGGGAGCAAACAGG